CAACUAGUUUUCUCUCAACAUCUUCAAAAUUCCAUUCCACUUGAGUUCAUUCCCAAUUGUGUCUAGACAAUUGAGGUGUUCCAUAUACUUUUCAAAUGAAUCCUUUCUCAAAUGGCAAAACUUGCACAUCUUAUGCACAUCUCUGAUCUACCACAUUGUAUCCCCUCCAUCCUCCAAUUCUUGAUCAAAUGGAUAAUCAUUUGAUACUUUCAAAUCACUCCCAAUUGACCUCUUAUUUGAAGAGCAACUUAUAUUUCAUUAUGCCUAUCUCACUCCUCUAUUAUUUUCCAUCAUCACCUUGACCUCAUGAAUUGAUGAUGUAUGUCAAUAUAUUCAUCCUUGUGAGUAUAUGGUUACUUCACUCACCAUCUCUCCUAGCCUUGCUCUACCAUUGUCUAAAUCACCAUCACCACCAUCAUCUCUUGGGCACAUCUUUUAUCAGGUCAGAAUGUCACCACCAUCUACUUUAGCACCCUUGUGCAUUAGUAUCACUUUGCCUAAAAUUGUAUAUCUUUUUAGGCCACCAUUUUAGUAAUUUGUGAGGCACUCAACCUUGGGUGUCAUGCAUGUGUAGCAAUUAUCUCUUGUUGAUCACUUGUGCAUGGCCAAAAAUAUGUGGCCGGCCAUGCCAUGGCACACAUGCAUCAUGCCUCUCCAUUUCCCUCUCUCUCACAUAAUUACUCCACCUUGGGAUGCCUCUCCUCCUUUGUCCCUUCCCAAUGCCACAAAUAAAUUCAGCUUGGGUCAAAUAUCUCUUCCCCAAACCAGCCUCCCAACUAACCCAAUCAAUGAAGAGGCUACCUCCCAACCAACCCAAUCAAUGAGGAGGCAGCCCACCCCCUCUCCCUCUAUAUAAAGGGGCUUGGCAGCCCACCCCCUCCUCACUUGCUCUCACUUUUCCACUCCCCACUCUCUCCUCCACUCCCACACACUCUCCUCCUACCUCUCCCCACGAAAUUGCUGCUCCUCCUAGCUUCAUGGCCGGCCAUGGCCAUGGAAAGCUCACCAAGAUGCAGCUCCUUCCUCCCUCAAGCUCAUCCUCACCAUGAGAGCCUCCCCCUCCAUCUUCUCCCCAACCUUAGAUGGUUUAAUCUCCUCUUCUUCUCUCUCCAUUGCUAAGAUUGGAUCUUGAUGCAGGUGCAUGUUGGUCCAAGCAUGGAGAAGAUUCUGGUACGAUCUUGUAAAAUCCGCCAAAUCUCGCGUGCAGAUCCAAAUCGAGUGGUUCAAAGUUCUGCAGAUAGAUCAAGAUCUGGUCAGAUCUGACUUUGUCGAAUUAAAUCAGGAGCUUGGAAAAGAAUUUUUGAAUGAAACCAGAUGGGGGAUAUUUGGUUUAUACCAUGGUGAUAACCGAGAGAGGCAAUUGCUAAGUUGUGACGCACUCAUACCUCUACUAGAUGCGAACAAUUCCGGAGAAGAAGAAGAAGUGGUUCGGACAAGGAUUUUAUUUAUAUUGACGGGAUUCUUAUAUUGAUGAAGUUGAAGAAGUCCAGGGACAAAUAAGCCAAGGCAAGC